UACGUAGGUGGCAAGCGUUAUCCGGAAUUAUUGGGCGUAAAGAGCGCGCAGGUGGUUGAUUAAGUCUGAUGUGAAAGCCCACGGCUUAACCGUGGAGGGUCAUUGGAAACUGGUCGACUUGAGUGCAGAAGAGGGAAGUGGAAUUCCAUGUGUAGCGGUGAAAUGCGUAGAGAUAUGGAGGAACACCGAUGGCGAAGGCAGCCGUCUGGCCAUGUACUGACGCUGAGGCGCGAAGGUGCGGGGAGCAAACAGGUUUAGA
rnacentral:rRNA from 1 species